ACGGAAGGCAGCAGUGGGGGAUAUUGCACAAUGGGCGAAAGCCUGAUGCAGCGACGCCGCGUGAGGGAAGACGGCCUUCGGGUUGUAAACCUCUGUCAUUCGGGACGAAUUGAUGACGGUACCGAAGAAGGAAGCUCCGGCUAACUACGUGCCAGCAGCCGCGGUAAUACGUAGGGAGCGAGCGUUGUCCGGAAUUACUGGGUGUAAAGGGAGCGUAGGCGGGAAAGCAAGUUGGAAGUGAAAUGCAUGGGCUUAACCCAUGAGCUGCUUUCAAAACUGUUUUUCUUGAGUGAAGUAGAGGCAGGCGGAAUUCCUAGUGUAGCGGUGAAAUGCGUAGAUAUUAGGAGGAACACCAGUGGCGAAGGCGGCCUGCUGGGCUUUAACUGACGCUGAGGCUCGAAAGCGUGGGUAGCAAACAGGAUUAGAUACCCUGGUA
rnacentral:rRNA from 1 species